UGGGGAAUAUUGCACAAUGGGCGCAAGCCUGAUGCAGCCAUGCCGCGUGUAUGAAGAAGGCCUUCGGGUUGUAAAGUACUUUCAGCGAGGAGGAAGGCGGUAAGGUUAAUAACCUUAUCGAUUGACGUUACUCGCAGAAGAAGCACCGGCUAACUCCGUGCCAGCAGCCGCGGUAAUACGGAGGGUGCAAGCGUUAAUCGGAAUUACUGGGCGUAAAGCGCACGCAGGCGGUCUGUCAAGUCGGAUGUGAAAUCCCCGGGCUCAACCUGGGAACUGCAUUCGAAACUGGCAGGCUAGAGUCUUGAAGAGGGGGGUAGAAUUCCAGGUGUAGCGGUGAAAUGCGUAGAGAUCUGGAGGAAUACCGGUGGCGAAGGCGGCCCCCUGGACAAAGACUGACGCUCAGGUGCGAAAGCGUGGGGAGCAAACA
rnacentral:rRNA from 1 species